ACGAACGCUGGCGGCGUGCCUAAUACAUGCAAGUAGAACGCUGAAGGAGGAGCUUGCUUCUCUGGAUGAGUUGCGAACGGGUGAGUAACGCGUAGGUAACCUGCCUGGUAGCGGGGGAUAACUAUUGGAAACGAUAGCUAAUACCGCAUAAUAGCAGUUGUUGCAUGACAACUGUUUGAAAGGUGCAAUUGCACCACUACCAGAUGGACCUGCGUUGUAUUAGCUAGUUGGUGGGGUAACGGCUCACCAAGGCGACGAUACAUAGCCGACCUGAGAGGGUGAUCGGCCACACUGGGACUGAGACACGGCCCAGACUCCUACGGGAGGCAGCAGUAGGGAAUCUUCGGCAAUGGACGGAAGUCUGACCGAGCAACGCCGAGUGAGUGAAGAAGGUUUUCGGAUCGUAAAGCUCUGUUGUAAGAGAAGAACGAGUGUGAGAGUGGAAAGUUCACACUGUGACGGUAUCUUACCAGAAAGGGACGGCUAACUACGUG
rnacentral:rRNA from 1 species